rnacentral:rRNA from 1 species
CCUACGGGAGGCUGCAGUGGGGAAUAUUGCACAAUGGGGGAAACCCUGAUGCAGCGACGCCGCGUGAGUGAAGAAGUAAUUCGUUAUUGAAAGCUCUAUCAGCAGGGAAGAAAAUGACGGUACCUGAGUCAUAAUCCCCGGCUAACUACGUGCCAGCAGCCGCGGUAAUACGUAGGGGGCAAGCGUUAUCCGGAUUUACUGGGUGUAAAGGGAGCGUAUACGGCAGUGCAAGUCUGUAGUGAAAGGCGGGGGCUCAACCACCGGACUGCUAUGGAAACUGUAAGGCUGGAGUGCAGGAGAGGUAAGUGGAAUUCCUAGUGUAGCGGUGAAAUGCGUAGAUAUUAGGAGGAACACCAGUGGCGAAGGCGGCUUACUGAACUGUCACUGACGUUGAGGCUCGAAAGCGUGGGGAGCAAACAGGAUUAGAUACCCCUGUAGUC